rnacentral:rRNA from 1 species
UGAGGAAUAUUGGUCAAUGGGCGAGAGCCUGAACCAGCCAAGUCGCGUGAAGGAUGAAGGUUCUAUGGAUUGUAAACUUCUUUUAUUCGAGGGUAAAGUGAGGUAUGUAUACCUUAUUGCAAGUAUCGAAUGAAUAAGCAUCGGCUAACUCCGUGCCAGCAACCGCGGUAAUACGGAGGGUGCAAGCGUUAUCCGGAUUUAUGGGUUUAAAGGUGCGUAGGCUGUAAGUCAAGUCAGCGGUGAAAAGUCGGGGCUAAACCUUGAGGGUGCCGUUGAAACUGAUUUACUAGAAUGUGGAUGAUGCCGGCGGAAUGUGUCGAGUAGCGGUGAAAUGCAUAGAUAUGACACAGAAGGCCGAUUGCGAAGGCAGCUGGCAAAGGCACGAUUGACGCUGAGGCACGAAAGU